CCGGAGGGGGCUCUCUUUGUUCUUCCUUCCUGGUCUUCCCUUUCGCUUCUUCUUUUUUUUCCUUUCUUCUUUCCCUUCCCUUUCUCCCCCCUUUCCCUUCUCUUAAGACUUCCGGGCUGUGAGUCCGGGAGAGGAUGGCGGAAUUCCCAGUGUAGAGGUGAAAUUCGUAGAUAUUGGGAAGAACACCAGUGGCGAAGGCGGCCAUCUGGCCCGGUACUGACGCUGAGGCGCGAAAGCGUGGGGAGCAAACAG
rnacentral:rRNA from 1 species